rnacentral:rRNA from 1 species
UACGAAGGUCCCAAGCGUUGUUCGGAAUCACUGGGCGUAAAGGGUGCGUAGGCGGUCCUGUAAGUCAGUGGUGAAAUACGGCAGCUCAACUGUCGAGGUGCCAUUGAUACUGCGGGACUUGAGUACAGACGAGGUAGGCGGAAUUGACGGUGUAGCGGUGAAAUGCUUAGAUAUCGUCAAGAACACCGAUCGCGAAGGCAGCUUACUAGACUGUAACUGACGCUGAGGCACGAAGGUGCGGGGAUCAAACAGG